UACGUAGGGGGGCUAGCGUUGUCCGGAAUCAUUGGGCGUAAAGCGCGUGUAGGCGAUUCGGUAAGUCCGCUGUGAAAGUCGGGGGGCUCAACCCUGGAAUGCCGGUGGAAACUGUCGGGCUGGAGUCCGGAAGAGGCGAGUGGAAUUCCUGGUGUAGCGGUGAAAUGCGCAGAUAUCAGGAGGAACACCAAUGGCGAAGGCAGCUCGCUGGGGACGGUACUGACGCUGAGACGCGAAAAGCGUGGGGGAGCAAACAGG
rnacentral:rRNA from 1 species